UACAGAGAUCUACCCCACAAAGCUCUUUGGACCAUCUAAUGUGACUGAAGGGACCACAAUACAUUUCAAGUGUCAAACUAAUAACAUCACUAUAAGCGGGGACAUGGUUCAUUUUUACCUUUGUAAGGAUGGAGUUGGGAUACAAAUGACACCUCUAAAGAAAGAUGCUGAAUCUGUUUUCUUGCUGAAAGAAGUUAAAAAACAAGACUCGGGCAAGUACAGCUGUGUGUACAGCAAAUGUAAACUCCCAGCCAGUCAAGUGAAGUCAACAGGGGAUUAUCUGGUUUUACGGGUCAAUGGAUAUGAAGAUGUGAAAGAGGCUGCGAAUGAUGUGCUACUGAUCAAUUUAAUCCGAAUAAUGAGUUCCGCUGUUGUGGUCAUACUGCUUCUGAUUGUAGUGGUUGUCGGCUCCUGUUGUUCCAAAACAGAACAUUGCAAGAACACGAACAAUGCUGUCAAAAAUGUCCGCUAGGUUACUCAUCAACGCUCACAUCUCAUCCCAUCUGGACUACUGCAAGGCCUUUUUUUUGGCACAUCUGCCUAUUGCCUAAAAAGGCUACAAUAUGUCCAGGACUGUGCUGAAUGUGACCUCACAUACAACUUCCUGCAUGAGGUCAUUCUUUUGUUCAACCUCCAGGAGAUCCACAUUGACUCACAUUUCCUUGUUCACACCAACCAGACUAUCCACAACUCUGAAAACUUUC
ensembl:lncRNA